rnacentral:rRNA from 1 species
AGAACGCAGCGAAAUGCGAUAAGUAAUGUGAAUUGCAGAAUUCAGUGAAUCAUCGAAUCUUUGAACGCACAUUGCGCCCUUUGGUAUUCCUUAGGGCAUGCCUGUUCGAGCGUCACUAAAAACCCCCUCACAGAUAAUGUGGUAUUGGUAGA